UACGGAGGGAGCUAGCGUUGUUCGGAAUUACUGGGCGUAAAGCGCACGUAGGCGGCUUUGUAGUUAGGGGUGAAAUCCCGGGGCUCAACCUCGGAAUUGCCUCUAAGACUGCAUCGCUUGAAUCCAGGAGAGGUGAGUGGAAUUACGAGUGUAGAGGUGAAAUUCGUAGAUAUUCGGAAGAACACCAGUGGCGAAGGCGACUCACUGGACUGGUAUUGAUGCUGAGGUGCGAAAGCGUGGGGAGCAAACAGG
rnacentral:misc_RNA from 1 species